CUCGACCGGUUCUGCUCAAAAUGGCAGAGUAUAAAUCCUGGGAGUUUUCACAGCGCGGUUUCCUCUCCCAACUUCAGACUGUGAGGACCAUCAGAAGUG